UUGCCUUAAACUAAUGAGUAAGGAAAAUAAUGGUCCGGGGUGAUGCCCGGUCCUUGCUGCCUUGUGCAAGAGGAAAUUUUGAGCGGAUAAAUGUUACCCUACAGGUGACCAGCCUACUUUGUGGGAUGCCACAGCGCACUAGUCUGCCUG